rnacentral:lncRNA from 1 species
GUUUCCUCUCUGUUGUUGUUCACUUACUUUCAAGCCUUUUCUUACUGUCAGUGUCUUUAACGUUGUUAUUAUAUUUCUUUAGGUGAAGAUGUGAAAACAACUAAAUCAACAACAGUGAAGUUCACCACAAAAACAUCAUCGACAACAAAAUCCACAACAUCAACAAUUAAACCAACCGUGAAAAUAAACACAUGGACAACAAGAGAGGAAUUAAAGACAUCAGCAGGGACACUGACAACAGCACCAAAUAUUCCACCUGGAGGUAGAGACUGAAUCUCUCUUUUUUUGAAGUCUGGAUGUCAGACUGAGACUUGACUAUGUGUGGAGAAUUUCAGUAUCAUGUUUAACAUGUUUUAAUAAUCUCUCCAGGUCAUUCAGGGUUUAUCAUCGUUCCUGUGGGUUUAGCAGCUCUCUUAAUAACUGUUGUGGUGAUCAUCAGAUGGAAGAAAACUAAAGGUGAAAACAUUUACAGAUCAAAGUUUAUGAUAAGUUGACUCAUAAGUAAACUCAUCUUUUUUUCUCUUUUCAGAAAACAAAACACAAUGUGGCAACAACACGGUGAGUACAAAUCUUCCAAUAAGUUCUUAUUCAAUCAUUUAUGUCAUCAUCUUUGAACUCUAUAGUUUUAUACCAGACUGAGUCUUUAAAUGACCUUUAGUGAUGAGUUCAGUGUAUAAAAGAUUCAAAGAUUGAAAGGAAGAAAAAUCAUUUGCAAAUAAGUUGAAUCCGUCAAUUAAAUAUUCUUCAGGUCAAAGUUGUUGUUUACAUUGAACAGAUUUUAAAUAUAAAACUGUAUUUUUGCAGGGACUGAGCCUAAACCCUGCAGACACUGAAUCUGGUCCAGGAACCAAUCAGGACACGAUGUGGACUGAUGCUGAUGAUGGUGUGUCAUAUGCCUCCAUCAGCUUCACCAAGAAGACCAAGAAUAAAGCCCGGGCUGGUGAUGAUGAUGACACUGUGACUUACAGCACAGUGACAGCUGCCUCACCUGCUGGUGUUACCAAUGAUGCCAGUGACCUCUAUUCCACCAUCAACAAACCAAAGAAAUAGGAUGUUACUCAUAAAAUGUUUAUUUUGUUUUGGAUAAUGCAUCAAUGUUUGGAUGAUAGAGUAACUUCCUUUGUGUUCCUUUUGAAGUAAUGCUGUUUGAUUUAUUUGUUUGGUGUAAUCCAAAGGUAAGUACACCAUCGAUCAAGCAGUGGUGUGCAUGAGUGUGAAUUGUGUCAGAAUCAGUUACUGCAGUAAGUACCAUGAAAUUUAAAAAAAUAUAUAUCAUAAGUGUUGCUCGCUUAAGGACAUUAAUAUAUCUAAAUAUUCAUCUUUUAUUUGAUUUCUUCACAAAAAAUGUUUAGUGAACUACUUAACCUCAGUUAAUACAUCAUGUAACUCCUUAGUUACUGAAGAAAUAUUAAAACAUGUAACUGACUGUAUAUUUGUACUGAGGCAACAAUCGUUAUGCUUCAGGAUUGGCCUGGAAAUGAAGAAGACUUGACUUUUACUGUAAUCUAGAAUUUACCUGUAUAUCAAAUGACGCACUGCACAGAAUUUUAUUAUUAAAAUUUAAAAAAAAAAAAUCAUGAAUGACAUUUUUAACAAUACAAAAAGGGACGUAAAACUAGGGUUGAGAGGUGUAUCUCACUGUAUCUAUGAUGAUACUAAACUUUCUGUUUGUGAUAUUCAAAAAUCAUCUUUGACAGCAAAAAAACUCAGUUUCAGUUUUAGGACACUUUAAAAACAUAAAAAGAAAAGAAUAUGAGUUACUAUAACAUGUGUGAUUGUGCACACUUAGUUUUAAAGAUUAGUGUGAACCAAAAUCCUCAAGUUGUAGAUGCUGUUCAAGGGCUCUGAUGCUAAAAGGCUAACUUUCUUAUUGUGCUGUGCUGACUGGCUUUCCAGCUUCUUCAUAAGUACAGUUUGAACAUUUUUAGUGGACG